AGGAAAGGUGACAGAGUGGUUGAAUGUACCAGUUUUGAAAACUGGCAUAGCUUAAAAACUAUCGGGGGUUCAAAUCCCCCCCUUUCCUU
rnacentral:tRNA from 1 species